CACUGAUGAGCGAAUGCAUGGAUUACUAGCCCAGGACUGAGAUGUCAAGCAUGCUUGAGGGAUAGACAGCCAGCUAGGAAAUAAAUGCCCAACAUGAACAAACAUCAAAAUAGAACUCUCUUCAUAGUAACAAUAUAGAGCUGACAAACAGAGCAGAUGGAGAAGAACCAACUCUAUAAGGAAGGGCUGCCUAAUUUUAUUGCUGUCCUGGACUCACUGCUGCCUGACUCAAUACACGUGCCCAUUUUGAAUGAAUGAUAUUUAGUUUAUAAGUUUCUUGGGCCACGAUGACAUAGGUUUCCUGGUGGCAUUUUCAUGCUGAACCAAGGCAUUGCCUCAUGUCUAUGUCAAGGUGGACCCUGGUGGUUACUCUGGAAAACACAGGACAGUCAUUUUAGUUGUUUUCCUGUUAAUAUUAGACUCUUGGGGAAGGACUUUAAUAAUUUAAUUAUAUUUUCCUAUUACAUCUCUGACUUUCAGUGAAAGAGCUGAAUGAAUGCAGAAUGAAUUAUCAACUGUAAUCUCCUGAAAUCUCAUGUCCCACCCCACAUCCAUCUGAAAUCCUCCUCUUGCUUCAUUCCUUACCAGGCUCACAGCACAGUUCAAGGAUGAUGACACAAGGAUUUAAUGAGUAGAAGACAACAACUUAAAACCUCUCGUUGGAGCAUGAAUUGUCUAGGUUAGAGGUAGGCACUGAGAUCCCAUUAGCUACUGGCACAAUUGGGAAAAGAAAUGUACACAUGCACAGACACACUUUAAAGCAAGACGUCAUGAAAAUACAGCGAUGCCUGUUUCUACUCAGACCCAAGAAUAGGAUUAGAGCCAAAAGGAACAACCCCUCCAUUAAUUAGAGAAGUAAAAAUGUCUUCACCCCAAGUGUCCCAGCACAACGUGAAACUGAAAUGAACUGCCUUUCUUUGGAUUCCCCUUAUUUAUUUACGUUUAAAAGAAGAUUUGAAGAUGAUGACACCUAGUAAAAGAACAGUUGGAGAAAACACGUGGACACCACACGUUGGAAGAGAAAUGUAGACCACGGAGUACACAACUACAGAAGGAUUUUUUUUUUUCCUUGUUGAAAUACGUGAUAAUGGGCUAAUAAAAAUCUGGUUACCUUUACAUUUCUUCUCCUCUGUUUGGAAGGUCUGGGCACUCGAGACACUCUGGUCGUUCACAUCAUCAUGGUCCAGAUGGAAUAUCGAGCUAGUCCAAGUGGCCUGGAUGAGAUGUGGCGAUGACUGUUCAUUUUUCAACGUGCUACGCCUCUCUGAAUGGCUCUUCCUAUGUAGGCAGGCUUCAGACAUUCCUACUAGCUUCCAGUCGUGUUCUCGGUCUGGACAGUGCUUCGGUUUGUCCCAGGCUGUAAGGCCAUUUUCUAAAGGGUUGAAAAACACGAGAUGACGAGCUGUUGGCAUUGUCAAGAUUUUGCUGAGAUGCAGAGUUUUGGAAGGCAAGUUGUUUCUCAAUUCUUUUGGGCUGACAAUAUUCACAUGCCACUUGACGGCAGUGAUAAGAUGCAAAAUUUGUCAGCCUUGGGCAUUUAGCCACUGCAGUUGGAUUGCCUGAUGGAGUAAUCAACACAUUCCCCCUUAUUUGAAAUGCCUAGAAAGACAUCAGUUCCUGCAUGGCCAGGCUGUACUUUCGCCAGCCCCACUUCCACAGCAAUGGCCCAGGAGCAAGUUUACACACCAAUUUAUGUUACUGCUUAGAUGACCAUUUGAGGUCUUGAGGGUCAGGGCUGGCCGUGAACACUUUUCAGAUCCUUAGGACAUAAAACACCCAGGAUUCAGCCUUGUUUGACUUGGGUUUUAUCACAAGCUGACCUGAGGGACACCCUGUUACUUAAGUGGGACGUGCUCACGUGGCCACACCGACAGUGGCAACUCUGUUUUUACCACCUUCUGCCCCUGAUGGCCUACAAAAAGAAAAAGAAAAACAAAAACAAAAACGGGAUCUUACAAAUAGAAGUUUUAUAAAGGGCUUCAAUAUAGUCCCAUCUUGGCAAUAACAGAUGAAGGAAAGCAGAUAGCGCGUUAGCUGUGGGACAAAUUAAGAGCCCAAAUGAUAGAAUGAUGAUGAGCUUAAAAUCUCUUUGGUUGGAGUACAGCUGGUUAAUUAUUUAUGUAUAUUAUACAUAAAUAUAUAUAUAUUUAAUUCAAUUUAUAGGGACUUGAGGAUCUGGCCUACAGAAAAUGGGAAAAAAUGUAAUAAUAUGAUGAAAAAUUUCUGACACUAACCUGCCCUGGUGGCAAAUUUUACUUCCUUAAAUAUCUUUACUGUACAUGGAUAUAGAGAGCACAAAUGAGCAAGCUAAUAUGUAUACAUAUUUGUAUGCAUGUUGUACACAUUAAAAACACAUAACCCAUCUGGUCAUCCAUAUUCUCAGAAAUUCUUAAGCUACUGUUUGUCAAAAUUAGAAAAAAUAUAAUAUAAAUAUGUGAGUCCUCCUUUUCAGAGUUUAUACAGUCUUUUUAAAGUGAUCACAUAUGGUGAUUAAAAGACUAUAAUUUAUAUCUGAAUAUUUUUUAACACUGAAAUUA